rnacentral:rRNA from 1 species
UGCAAGUCGAGCGGUAACAUUUCUAGCUUGCUAGAAGAUGACGAGCGGCGGACGGGUGAGUAAUACUUAGGAAUCUACCUAGUAGUGGGGGAUAGCUCGGGGAAACUCGAAUUAAUACCGCAUACGACCUACGGGAGAAAGGGGGCAACUUGUUGCUCUCGCUAUUAGAUGAGCCUAAGUCGGAUUAGCUAGUUGGUGGGGUAAAGGCCUACCAAGGCGACGAUCUGUAGCUGGUCUGAGAGGAUGAUCAGCCUCACCGGGACUGAGACACGGCCCGGACUCCUACUGGAGGCAGCA